GUUAGUGGUAAAUUCUUUUUCUUUUCUUUUUUUUUAUUAUUAUUUUUUUUCUUUUUCUUAAUUAAAAAAAAAAAUUGGCCACACCACACGGCAUAUGGGAUCUUAGUUCCCCGACCAAGGAUCGAAUCCACACCCCCUGCACUGAAAGCAGGGGCUCUUAACCACUGGACCACCAGGAAAGUCCCAGAAGUGGUCAAUUCUUGACUGGAACACAUGCACUUCAGAUCCAAAGAGAACUGAGAGUUCCUCUGCUCCUGCUUGGAUUCCUCCACUGCCCGGGCCGCAGAGAGCCCCCGGGGUCCCCACCCUGCUCCUGCCACCCCCUCCAAGUAGCUUCGGAAGACUCCAGCUUGGACUUCCUCAAUCCCAGAUCCUUGCACAGAACUCAGUCACUGUUCAGUGCACAUUCCAGCCAGCAAGUGACCUUGAGCAAGCCUCCUCCUUGGACCUCCGGGUUUCAUCUGCAGAAUGGAGCUGAUAAUAACAACUCCCCUCUGGAAGCCAAGAGACCGGGCCU
ensembl:lncRNA